AUUGAACGCUGGCGGCAGGCCUAACACAUGCAAGUCGAACGAGCGGCGGACGGGUGCGUCAUAUCUGGGGAACUGCAUGAUGGAGGGGGAUAACUACUGGAAACGGUAGCUAAUACCGCAUACCAUCAGCUGCACCCAUAUGGGAUGAGCUAGUUGGUGAGGUAACGGCUUACCUAGGCGACGAUCCCUAGCUGGUCUGAGAGGAUGACCAGCUACACUGGAACUGAGACACGGCCCAGACGCCUACGGGAGGCAGCAGUGGGGAAUAUUGCACAAUGGGCGCAAGCCUGAUGCAGCCAUGCCGCGUGUAUGAAGAAGGCCUUCGGGUUGUAAAGUACUUUCAGUCGGGAGGCGUUACCGACAGAAGAAGCACCGGCUAACUCCGUGCCAGCAGCCGCGGUAAUAC
rnacentral:rRNA from 1 species